rnacentral:rRNA from 1 species
GGCGGCGUGCCUAACACAUGCAAGUCGAGCGGAGAUAUAUUGAAGGUUACCAGAUAUAUAUCUAGCGGCGGACGGGUGAGUAACGCGUGGGCAACCUGCCUUAUACAGGGGGAUAACACAGGGAAACUUGUGCUAAUACCGCAUAAUAUCAUUGUAUGGCAUCAUACGAUGAUCAAAGGAGCAAUCCGGUAUGAGAUGGGCCCGCGUCCGAUUAGCUAGUUGGUGGGGUAACAGCUCACCAAGGCGACGAUCGGUAGCCGAACUGAGAGGUUGAUCGGCCACAUUGGGACUGAGACACGGCCCAGACUCCUACGGGAGGCAGCAGUGGGGAAUAUUGCGCAAUGGGGGAAACCCUGACGCAGCAACGCCGCGUGAAGGGAAUGAAGGCCUUCGGGUUGUAAACUUCUGUUGUAGGGGAUGAAUGAUUCGUGAAGGAAAUGUCACGAAUUUGACAGUACUCUACCAGAAAGCCACGGCUAACUACGUGCCAGCCGCAGC